rnacentral:rRNA from 1 species
UACGAGAGGUGCAAGCGUUAUUCGGAAUCAUUGGGCGUAAAGGGCGCGUAGACGGUAUGUUAAGUCUGUUGUUAAAUUCCUCGGCUCAACUGAGGGCAUGCAGCGGAAACUGGCGUACUAGAGGUUGGAAGAGAGAAGUGGAAUUCUUGGAGUAGCGGUAAAAUGCGUAGAUCUCAAGAGGAACACCGAUGGCGAAGGCAGCUUCUUGGUCCAUACCUGACGUUGAGGCGCGAAAGCGUGGGGAGCAAACAGG